rnacentral:rRNA from 1 species
CACGUAGGGCGCAAGCGUUGUCCGGAAUUAUUGGGCGUAAAGAGCUCGUAGGCGGUUUGUCGCGUCUGCCGUGAAAGUCCGGGGCUCAACUCCGGAUCUGCGGUGGGUACGGGCAGACUAGAGUGAUGUAGGGGAGACUGGAAUUCCUGGUGUAGCGGUGAAAUGCGCAGAUAUCAGGAAGAACACCCGUGGCGAAGGCGGCUCUCUGGGACGGUACUGACGCUGAGACGCGAAAGCGUGGGGAGCGAACAGG